rnacentral:rRNA from 1 species
CAGUCGCCACGGGAAUACGGAGGGUGCAAGCGUUAAUCGGAAUUACUGGGCGUAAAGCGCACGCAGGCGGUCUGACAAGUCAGAUGUGAAAUCCCCGGGCUUAACCUGGGAACUGCAUUUGAAACUGUCAGGCUGGAGUCUUGUAGAGGGGGGUAGAAUUCCAGGUGUAGCGGUGAAAUGCGUAGAGAUCUGGAGGAUUACCGGUGGCGAAGGCGGCCCCCUGGACAAAGACUGACGCUCAGGUGCGAAAGCGUGGGGAGCAAACAGGAUUAGAUACCCCAGUAGUCCCUGUCUCUUAUAC